rnacentral:tRNA from 1 species
AUUUAAAUAGUUUAUAAAAUACUAAUUUGUGGCAUUAGAGAUGGUGGUUAAAUUCACCUUUAAGUC